UACGAAGGGGGCUAGCGUUGCUCGGAAUCACUGGGCGUAAAGGGUGCGUAGGCGGGUCUUUAAGUCAGGGGUGAAAUCCUGGAGCUCAACUCCAGAACUGCCUUUGAUACUGAGGAUCUUGAGUACGGGAGAGGUGAGUGGAACUGCGAGUGUAGAGGUGAAAUUCGUAGAUAUUCGCAAGAACACCAGUGGCGAAGGCGGCUCACUGGCCCGUAACUGACCGCUGAGGCACGAAAGCGUGGGAGCAACAGGG
rnacentral:rRNA from 1 species